UGCCGCCCAGCUUCGUGACUCCACGGCCCCACGCGCCCCUUGCUGCCUUCCGCUGGGGUUUCCGAGCCGCCCCCGAGCCGCGCACCCGACUUGCAGGCGUCCGCCUGGGCCUCCCUAAGACACGCCGCAUACAGGACAGGCCCCUGGGCCUUCCGCGGCGAUGGCGCUGCGCUAAUGACGUCAUAGGCCCGGACUCGCGUGAGUGCGCGUGCGUUGGGGCCUCAGCCUUUAUCUCCACUCUGCGGAGAUUCACGCCUGGAAAACGCUCUUCUGAGAGGAUCUGUGGAGGUCAACCCAGGAGAGAGAAGACAGGACUGAAGCACUGAAAGGGUCCUGCCGUAAGGGCGCAGGAUUGUAUAGAAUAUAUAAUAGCAGUAGCAGCUCUGUUUACGGAGCAUUAACCUUACGUGGAGUUAUUUCCUGCAUUUCCUCCUUUCGUCUUUACAAGGUAGCCGUUUGGCGUCGUGAGAGAUUGGGUCUCUCCACAUUGCCCCGGCUGCUCUCCAACCCCUGAGUUCAAGUGAUUCACCUCCCUUGGCCUCCCAAAGAACUGGGAUUACAGACGUGAGCCACCGUGCCUGGCUGAGAAGAUGGAUUUAAGAUAUGUUUUGGAGGUAACAUUGUCAGGACUUCCUGAAGGAUUAGAUGUGGAAGGGAAGGAUAAGAAACAGACCAAGGAUAACUUUCAAAUGUAUGCUUAAGCAACUGGAUGGAUAAUGAUGCCAUUGAGUGAGUGAAAAACUUGAUGGAAGUGGAAGAUUCAGAGUUCAUUUCUAUCUAGGUUAAUUUGAGACAUACCAGAGCAUAAGUUAAGUAAGUAAUUGAAUAUUGGAGUGGAGACUUAGUCGUCUACCGAAUUAUUGUUUUCUUUGUCGGACAUACACCUACACUGCAUUCCUCAAAGUAAAUUUAAGUGUGGCUCUGUGCCUAUGCUCUCCCCAGCGGAAAGUGAGCAGAAGAGGUGUGCAGUUUCCAGGCCUGGCCCAUACAGACCUCCAACAGGUGCUCCCCUGUGCUGUUACUCCUUCUGCCAACUGGAAGCAGAUGGUGACCAGGCUCUGGAGAAGGCAAGGCCUGAAGAUGGGAGAUUCCUAAGUGGAGGAGAACUGUGCCUUACUGACCUAAAUAUCCACUCAGUAUUGUUAUGUGAGAAUAAAUAAACUUGUGUUGAC
rnacentral:lncRNA from 1 species